CGCAUCUGUGCAUGCAGCAUAUCAAUAAGCGGAGGAAAAGAAACUAACAAGGAUCCCCUUAGUAACGGCGAGUGAAGCGGGAAGAGCUCAAAUUUGAAAUCUUCAAGGUUUUACCUUGACGAAUUGUAGUUUAAAGAAGUGUUUUCUGUUGAAGUCUUGGUAAAAGUUCUUUGGAAUAGGACAUCAUAGAGGGUGAGAAUCCCGUAUUUGACCAUUAUUUUCAGCUGUGUGAUACACUUUCAAAGAGUCGGAUUGUUUGGGAAUGCAGUCCAAAAUGGGUGGUAAAUUUCAUCUAAAGCUAAAUAUUGGCGAGAGACCGAUAGCGAACAAGUACCGUGAGGGAAAGAUGAAAAGAACUUUGAAAAGAGAGUUAAACAGUACGUGGAAUUGUCAAAAGGGAAGCGUUUGACACCAGUGUUGUUUUCUCGAAAAUCAAUUAAAAAGAGUUAGAUUUUGUUGUGUAUUGACCUUAACAGCUUGCAUUUCAAUUUUCUUGCUUUUUUUAACGCACUUUUCGUUUAACAAGUCAACAUCAGUUUCUUUUGUUGUAAAAAGGUCAUUGGAAGGUGGCUUUCUUUUCGGAGAAAGUGUUUAUAGCCUUUGACUCCUGCAAUCGGAGAGACUGAGGUCUGCAGCGUAGAUCCUUCGGGGUUAGAUACAUUUGUGCUAAGUUAUAGCUUUUUAUAGACAACUUGUUGACUAUGAUUAGUCUUGUAGCUUACUCGCUUAUGCUAUUUUACCUACCUUAGGAUGUUGACACACGCGCGUGCUCG
rnacentral:rRNA from 1 species